AUUGAACGCUGGCGGCAGGCCUAACACAUGCAAGUCGAACGGAGUGGCGAACGGGUGAGUAACACGUGGGUGACCUGCCCUGCACUUCGGGAUAAGCCUGGGAAACUGGGUCUAAUACCGGAUAGUGUGGGAUGGGCCCGCGGCCUAUCAGAUUGUUGGUGGGGUAAUGGCCUACCAAGGCGGCGACGGGUAGCCGGCCUGAGAGGGUGGACGGCCACAGUGGGACUGAGACACGGCCCAGACGCCUACGGGAGGCAGCAGUGGGGAAGAUUGCACAAUGGGCGGAAUCCUGAUGCAGCGACGCCGCGUGGGGGAUGACUGCCUUCGGGUUGUAAACUCCUUUCACCAUCGACGCGGUAGAUGGAGAAGAAGCACCGGCUAACUACGUGCCAGCAGCCGCGGUAAUUC
rnacentral:rRNA from 1 species